rnacentral:rRNA from 1 species
AUUGAACGCUGGCGGCAGGCCUAACACAUGCAAGUCGAACGAGUGGCGGACGGGUGAGUAAUGUCUGGAAAACUGGCUGAUGGAGGGGGAUAACUACUGUAAACGUUAGCUACUACCGCAUACCAUCAGAUGUGCCCAGGUGGGAUUAGCUUCUUGGUGGGGUAACGGCGCACCAAGGCGACGAUCCCUAGCUGGUCUGGGAGGAUGACCAGCCACACUGGAACUGAGACACGGUCCAGACUCCUACGGGAGGCAGGAGUGGGGAAUAUUUGGCAAUGGGCGCAAGUCUGAUGGAGCCAUGCCGCGUGAAUGAAGAAGGCCUUCGGGUUGUAAAAUUCUUUCGGCGGGGAGGCGUUACCCGCAGAAGAAGCACCGGCUAACUCCGUGCCAGCAGCCGCGGUAAUAC